rnacentral:rRNA from 1 species
UCGUAGUUGGAUUUCUGCCGAAAUUGGCUGGUCCGCUCUCUGAGCGUGUAUGUAGCCCAAUUUCGGCAUGCUCGCUGCUGUUGUAGCUGCGCUUCAAUGCACGGUUCAAUUGGCAGCGUACUUUACUUUGAGGAAAUUAGAGUGUUCACGGCAGUCGAGUGUUAUGAAUACAUUAGCAUGGAAUAAUAAGAUAGGACCUUGGUCUAUUUUGUUGGUUUACAUUCCAAGGUAAUGAUUAAUAGGGAUAGUUGGGGGUAUUCGUAUUCAAUUGUCAGAGGUGUUUUUUUUUGAUUUAUGGAAGACGAACUACUGCGAAAGCAUUUACCAAGG